rnacentral:rRNA from 1 species
CCUACGGGUGGCAGCAGUGGGGAAUAUUGCACAGUGGGCGCAAGCCUGAUGCAGCCAUGCCGCGUGUGUGAAGAAGGCCUUCGGGUUGUAAAGCACUUUCAGCGGGGAGGAAGGCGGUGAGGUUAAUAACCUCAUCGAUUGACGUUACCCGCAGAAGAAGCACCGGCUAACUCCGUGCCAGCAGCCGCGGUAAUACGGAGGGUGCAAGCGUUAAUCGGAAUUACUGGGCGUAAAGCGCACGCAGGCGGUCUGUCAAGUCGGAUGUGAAAUCCCCGGGCUCAACCUGGGAACUGCAUUCGAAACUGGCAGGCUAGAGUCUUGUAGAGGGGGGUAGAAUUCCAGGUGUAGCGGUGAAAUGCGUAGAGAUCUGGAGGAAUACCGGUGGCGAAGGCGGCCCCCUGGACAAAGACUGACGCUCAGGUGCGAAAGCGUGGGGAGCAAACAGGAUUAGAUACCCCUGUAGUC